GCUGGGCGUGGUGGCGCUUGCCUGUAGUCCCAGCUACUCGGGAGGCUGAGGCGGGAGAAUCGCUUGAACCCGGGAGGCAGAGGUUGCAGUGAGCUGAGAUCGUGCCACUGCACUCCAGCCUGGGCAACAAAGCGAGACCCUGUCUCAA
rnacentral:sRNA from 1 species